rnacentral:rRNA from 1 species
UCCUUUUAAUAAAAAUGAGUGGGAUAAAAAUAAGAAGUAUGGCGGUCUUUGAUCUUGUCAGAGGGACAUGUAUUCAAUAAACGAAUUUGCACGAAAAUCUGUCCUAAUUUAGAAUAAUUCAUUUUGUACACCGCUGUCUGAAAGACAUUACGUAGGUAUUUUCUUUCUUCUUUUAUAAGAAGUAAGGCAAGUUAAGGUGCAGAUUAUAAUUAGGGUAAUAUGUGUUCCAAUAGAAAUUAUGUACUAUUAAUUGAAAAGUUCUAGGCAAAGAGAAUUUGAUAGUAAGAUUAAUAAUUAAGUUGAUCUGAAAUUGGGCUAUAGAAGGUGU